GACGAACGCGGGCGGCGUGCUUAACACAUGCAAGUCGAACGUGAUUUUUAUGGAAUAGCCUUCGGGGAUAGGAAAUAGAAUGAAAGUGGCGAACGGGUGAGUAACACGUGAGCAACCUACCUUACACAGGGGGAUAGCCGUUGGAAACGACGAUUAAUACCGCAUGAGACCACAGAACCGCAUGGUAAAGGGGUCAAAGAUUUAUCGGUGUAAGAUGGGCUCGCGUCUGAUUAGCUAGUUGGAAGGGUAAAGGCCUACCAAGGCGACGAUCAGUAGCCGGUCUGAGAGGAUGAACGGCCACAUUGGAACUGAGACACGGUCCAAACUCCUACGGGAGGCAGCAGUGGGGAAUAUUGCACAAUGGGGGAAACCCUGAUGCAGCGACGCCGCGUGAGCGAAGAAGGUUUUCGAAUCGUAAAGCUCUGUCCUAUGAGAAGAUAAUGACGGUAUCAUAGGAGGAAGCCCCGGCUAAAUACGUGCCAGCAGCCGCGGUAAUACGUAUGGGGCGAGCGUUGUCCGGAAUUAUUGGGCGUAAAGGGUACGUAGGCGGUCUAUUAAGUCAGGUGUGAAAGCGUGAGGCUUAACCUCAUUAAGCACUUGAAACUGAUAGACUUGAGUGAAGGAGAGGAAAGUGGAAUUCCUAGUGUAGCGGUGAAAUGCGUAGAUAUUAGGAGGAAUACCGGUGGCGAAGGCGACUUUCUGGACUUUUACUGACGCUCAGGUACGAAAGCGUGGGGAGCAAACAGG
rnacentral:rRNA from 1 species